rnacentral:rRNA from 1 species
GAUGAACGCUGGCGGCGUGCCUAACACAUGCAAGUCGAGCGGGAUUUUCUGGGUUGAAGCUUCGGCAGAUUGAAGGAAAUGAGAGCGGCGGACGGGUGAGUAACGCGUAGGCAACCUGCCCUUUGCAGAGGGAUAGCCAUUGGAAACGAUGAUUAAAACCUCAUAAUGCUGUUUUAACACAUGUUUUGACAGCCAAAGAUUUAUCGGCCAAGGAUGGGCCUGCGUCUGAUUAACUAGUUGGUGAGGUAACGGCCCACCAAGGUGACGAUCAGUAGCCGACCUGAGAGGGUGAUCGGCCACAUUGGAACUGAGACACGGUCCAAACUUCUACGGAAGGCAGCAGUAAGGAAUCUUGCACAAUGGGGGAAACCCUGAUGCAGCAACGCCGCGUGAACGAUGAAGGCCUUAGGGUUGUAAAGUUCUGAUCUGUGGGAAGAAGAAGUGACGGUACCACAGGAGAAAGCCCCGGCUAAAUACGUGCCAGCCGCCGCGGUAAUAC